GCCGAGGUAGCUAAGCCCGGCCCACGGCGGCAGGCUCGAGACCUGUUGGUACUUGUACCACGAGGGUUCGAAUCCCUCCCUCGGCG
rnacentral:tRNA from 1 species